AGAGUUUGAUCCUGGCUCAGGAUGAACGCUGGCGGCGUGCUUAACACAUGCAAGUCGAACGAAGCACUGAAAGCGGAUUACUUCGGUUUGAAGCUUCUUUGACUGAGUGGCGGACGGGUGAGUAACGCGUGGGUAACCUGCCUCAUACAGGGGGAUAACAGUUAGAAAUGACUGCUAAUACCGCAUAAGCGCACGGUUUCGCAUGGAACAGUGUGAAAAACUCCGGUGGUAUGAGAUGGACCCGCGUCUGAUUAGCUGGUUGGUGAGGUAACGGCCCACCAAGGCGACGAUCAGUAGCCGGCCUGAGAGGGUGAACGGCCACAUUGGGACUGAGACACGGCCCAAACUCCUACGGGAGGCAGCAGUGGGGAAUAUUGCACAAUGGGGGAAACCCUGAUGCAGCGACGCCGCGUGAAGGAAGAAGUAUUUCGGUAUGUAAACUUCUAUCAGCAGGGAAGAAAAUGACGGUACCUGACUAAGAAGCCCCGGCUAACUACGCG
rnacentral:rRNA from 1 species